GACAGAGGAUGCAAGCGUUAUCCGGAAUGAUUGGGCGUAAAGCGUCUGUAGGUGGCUUUUCAAGUCCGCCGUCAAAUCCCAGGGCUCAACCCUGGACAGGCGGUGGAAACUACCAAGCUGGAGUACGGUAGGGGCAGAGGGAAUUUCCGGUGGAGCGGUGAAAUGCGUAGAUAUCGGGAAGAACACCCGUGGCGAAGGCGGCUCUCUGGGACGGUACUGACGCUGAGACGCGAAAGCGUGGGGAGCGAACAGG
rnacentral:rRNA from 1 species